AUGAAGAGCGGCGCCAGGGUGAUCAAGGGGAGGGUGGCGAUGGUAUACUCCAAGUACGCCGGCAAGGCCCAGGCCAAGGCGCCAAGCCUGCCCCGAGCGUCAGUACCGCAUACCCCUACCAGCCCAGUUUGA
rnacentral:rRNA from 1 species